rnacentral:rRNA from 1 species
GACAGAGGGGGCAAGCGUUGCUCGGAAUCACUGGGCGUAAAGGGCGCGUAGGCGGGAUGGCAAGUCGGUCGUGAAAUCUCUCGGCUCAACCGAGAAACGUCGGCCGAUACUGCCGUUCUUGAGGGAUGCAGAGGAGACUGGAAUUCCCGGUGUAGCGGUGAAAUGUGUAGAGAUUACAUGGAAUACCAAUUGCGAAGGCAGGUUACUACUAAUGGAUUGACGCUGAUGGACGAAAGCGUGGGUAGCGAACAGG